rnacentral:rRNA from 1 species
UGUCCAGACUCCUACGGGAGGCAGCAGUAGGGAAUCUUUCACAAUGGGCGAAAGCCUGAUGGAGCAACGCCGCGUGCAGGAUGAAGGCCUUCGGGUUGUAAACUGCUUUUAUAAGCGAGAAAUAUGAUGGUAACUUAUGAAUAAGGAUCGGCUAACUCCGUGCCAGCAGCCGCGGUAAUACGGAGGAUUCAAGCGUUAUCCGGAUUUAUUGGGUUUAAAGGGUGCGUAGGCGGUCUGAUAAGUUAGAGGUGAAAUCCCGAGGCUCAACUUCGGAAUUGCCUCUGAUACUGUUCGGCUAGAGAGUAGUUGCGGUAGGCGGAAUGUAUGGUGUAGCGGUGAAAUGCUUAGAGAUCAUACAGAACACCGAUUGCGAAGGCAGCUUACCAAGCUACUUCUGACGUUGAGGCACGAAAGCGUGGGGAGCAAACAGGAUUAGAUACCCUCGUAA